GCGUAAUCUCCAGGUUCUUUUUGUAUUAGUUCCUAUGUACAGGAUACACAUGGUAUACACCAUCCAAUCAAAUGCUGACUUACAGGUUCCUUCUGGACUAUGCAACAACAAUAAGAAAUAAUAAAGAUAAGAAUACGAACAUAAAGUAAAUGACAGUAGAAUAGAAUAAACAUGUUAACAUUUAUUAUAAUACAGGAAGACACAAUUUAUAGUCCAAUAUUUACACCUGUUUUGUUUUGUGGAAGGGGGGAGUGUUUAAAUUGUACAGUAUUUAGAUAAUCAUAAUAAUAAACUGGUAGCAGCAGGUGUGUGUGUGUAGCAUGAAUGUGUGUGUGUGUGUGUAUAUGAGUGUAAACAUGAGUAUUAAGGCUCGUAGAAUCACAGCAGGUGGUCAGUCCAGUUCAAGUGUUCAGCAGUCUGAUGGCUUGUAGAUAGAAACAGUCUCUGAGUCUGUUGGUGUCAGACCUCGUGCUCCGAUACCGUCUGCCCGACGGUACUGGAAUGAACAGCUGGCGUCUGGGGAGUGUGGGGUCCUUGAUGAUGCUGCAGGCCUUUCUCAAACAGCGGUUCGAGUAGAUGCAUAGCUGAAUAACUAACCUUCAGCUCCUUCAGGAAGCCGCUUGAAUCAGUAGGCUCUAUCGGAGGAAGACCGCAGGCUGUGGUUUCUCCAUUGAUGCCAAUGUGAUGUUCUACUACACAGCGACCAGGUCGUCUGACAUGCUCUGUCCAAGCGUGUUUUAUUACAUCAUGGUGUACAUGGGGUUACGUAAGUACACCUUGUGUUCAGUACACAGAUAGGUGUUUGAGACUGGUGGUGCUGGCGGUAAAGCUAAGCGGUGUAACCGUGGUAACCUGGCCUUUCUGUUCCUUCCAGGUCUAUAACUUAAACAGAGACAGCCAAAGUGAAGGCAUGGUCCAGCUAGACGUGGUUGGCUUCAACGUGGUGAAGAAGUUCAUCUAUGCUGUGGAGACCAGAGGCAUCGAUGAGCAGGGUCUGUACAGGAUUGUUGGGGUGAACUCCAGAGUACAGAAACUACUGGGUCUUGCCAUGGAUCCUAAAACCUGUGCUGAUGUGGAGCUG